AUCUUGAAAACGGAAAAUAAAAACAGCAGACCUAUGAAGGUCGAAGGGGAAGAAAAGCUGUAUCGAUUGUUGAGAUCUGGCGACUUGUUUAAAUUUCAUCAGCCUCACUUCUAUGAACUCUCAGGGUCCUCGUAAGAACUUCCAUUUUAUGUUCUUGUCUUCUCAUCAGUUUGAGUUGUGUCUUUAACAUUGGAGAGAAAAACAACUUGCAAGAUUUUCUUUCAGUAUGAACCAUUCUGAGGUCCUUCAAUUCUUUAGCUGAUUACCAACUCCUACCACUGUUAACCCUCAUCCAGGAACAAGCUUAUGUCUUUAACAUUCUGAGUGGGCUUCAGCAUCCUUGCAUAUGUUCAAUUCUUAAAAACCUGUUGAAAUAAAAGAUCAGGAGACAUAGGAAGGAUGCCAGAAGAGAGCGUGGCCUCACGUGUACCAGCUCUCUGCUCUCCUUUGCCUUGGGACGUUCCAUCCCUGGAAGUUUCCCUGCCCACAUCUUUGUAGAGAGUCCAUUCUCCAAGCUUCAGUGUGUCAUCUGUGAGGACCGUGACCCACCUGGUACAUCGCCUCAGGGCAUUCAUUUCAGGCUCCUUCUAAAUGGCCAAGUUUUCAAGAUUGUUUUGGCUCUAGCAAAACAAGUUGGAACAUUCACAUCAUCCAUCUUCUGCCAGCCUAACAAGCAUAGCAAGAAGAUAUAGCCCCACAACCACUUUAUGCACAAAGUUAGAAGCAUAAAAUCUCAUGGAAGGAGACCGAUUAUCUACAGAAGAGGUUGUCUUGCCAUUUCUCUCAUGUUAGAGGUAAACCUCAGGUUCUCCUCCUGCCUUUUGCUAAGUAUAUGUCUUGAUGACAAGCCUUCUGCUGAUGAGCUGUGUUUCUGGACCGAUC
rnacentral:lncRNA from 10 species